ACGACAAGUAGGGUCCUUUU
rnacentral:miRNA from 1 species